AGUCACUUCAUUAGUAUUUGAAAGUUAAUUCCCCAUAUGGGAUUAAUUGUAUAGAAACACCAAUCAGCACAUCUUCCCUGCCCUGUGUGUUUGUUGCAAAGGAUCCAUACUAAAUAUGAUUUUUGUUUGAAAAUAACAGAGCAACAUUUACAUUUUCAGCGGUCCAACACAUGCUUUAUUUUGCGCUGUAAACUAACCUUUUUAUUGCAACAGGUUCCUUUUAAAUGAUCCAGUGUAAUAACUACUGCUUGUGUCUUCUAUGUCUCACAUUAUGUGUUAUUUUAAAUUGUGGUAUAUAGCCUGAAUCAGACAUCAUGGACAAAGGUUUUUACCUGUGUUACUAAGGGCUCUUGGAGACUGACCGGUCUAAAGGUUUGCCAUGCCUUUAAAACAUGGUAUAGUAUAAUUUUUUUAAGUCUCUGAGAGUUCUGAAAGAUUCAGGUGAAACCAUGUCUGUUUAAUCUGGUCCAGAUGUUUGUUCAAUUUCUAUAGGAUUUAAAUUGAUGCAGCAUCAUCUCAGAUUAGUUA
rnacentral:lncRNA from 1 species